UAAGGAAUAUUGGUCAAUGGACGAGAGUCUGAACCAGCCAUGCCGCGUGAAGGAUGAAGGCCCUCUGGGUUGUAAACUUCUUUUAUCUGGGACGAAAAAAGGGGAAUCAUCCUCACUUGACGGUACCAGAGGAAUAAGCACCGGCUAACUCCGUGCCAGCAGCCGCGGUAAUACGGAGGGUGCAAGCGUUAUCCGGAUUUACUGGGUUUAAAGGGUGCGUAGGUGGGCGAGAAAGUCAGUGGUGAAAUCUCCGGGCUUAACCCGGAAACUGCCAUUGAUACUAUUUGUCUUGAAUACUUUGGAGGUAAGCGGAAUAUGUCAUGUAGCGGUGAAAUGCUUAGAUAUGACAUAGAACACCAAUUGCGAAGGCAGCUUACUACACAGAAAUUGACACUGAGGCACGAAAGCGUGGGGAUCAAACAG
rnacentral:rRNA from 1 species